GGGCGGCUGGCCUAAUGGUAAGGCGCUUGAUUUCGGUUCAAUAUAUAUCUCAAGAGAUUGAAGAUCAGACCGCUCAAGAGAUUGCAGGUUCGAUCCCUGCGUCGCUCA
rnacentral:tRNA from 1 species